rnacentral:rRNA from 1 species
GAGUUUGAUCCUGGCUCAGAGCGAACGCUGGCGGCAGGCCUAACACAUGCAAGUCGAGCGGAUGUAGCAAUACAUCAGCGGCAGACGGGAGAGUAACACGUGGGAACGUGCCCUUUGGUUCGGAAUAACUCGGCGAAAGCCGUGCUAAUACCGGGUAAGCCCUUACGGGGAAAGAUUUAUCGCCAUUGGAGCGGCCCGCGUCUGAUUAGCUAGUUGGUGAGGUAAUGGCUCACCAAGGCGACGAUCAGUAGCUGGUCUGAGAGGAUGAUCAGCCUCACUGGGACUGAGACACGGCCCAGACUCCUACGGGAGGCAGCAGUGGGGAAUAUUGGACAAUGGGCGCAAGCCUGAUCCAGCCAUGCCGCGUGGAUGAUGAAGGCCUUAGGUGUAAAGUCCUUUUAACGGGAAGAUAAUGACGGUACCCGUAGAAUAAGCCCCGGCUAACUUCGUGCCAGCAGCCGCCGCCGUAAC